UAGGCAUUUACAUAUGGCGUGCUUUGUUUCAAGAGGUUAUCAAGUUUCCAAUAGCUGCAAAUACAAAUCUGCAAGUUUUCACUUUUCACACACAUUCAUCUCUCUUAUUUCUCUCAUUUUAUUCCCUUAAAAUUUUAGAAACAAUCCUACACCAAAUCGUUGUAUUCUAGAUCAAGAUUUACAUGCCUAGUAUAUUUCCAAUGGCUUCCACAAGCACUUAAGGAGCCUCAUCUUCUUUUUCUUUUUCUUCUUCUUCAACAUCUCAGGGAAAAUAUGAUGUGUUUCUUAGUUUUAGAGGCAUGGAUACUCGUAAAAGUUUUACAGAUCAUCUAUAUACUGCUUUACAAAGGAAGGGCAUUUUAACCUUUAGGGAUGAUGAAGAACUUGAAAGAGGAAUAUACAUUUCACCUGAACUCUCAAAAGCAAUAGAAGGAUCAAGGUUUGCUAUAAUUAUUUUGUCAAGAAACUAUGUAUCUUCAACAUGGUGUUUGGUUGAGCUUACAAAGAUCAUCAAAUGCAUGAAAGAAAUGGGAAUGAAAGUCCUGCCUGUUUUUUAUGAUGUGGAUCCAUCUGAUGUACGGAAACAAACUGGAACUUUUGAAAAAGCUUUCAUUGACCAUGAAGAAUGUUUUAAAGAGAACAUAGAUUUGGUGAAAACGUGGAGAGCUGCUUUGACAGAAGUGGCCAAUCUCUCUGAUUGGCAUUUACAAGAUAGGCAUGAGUCAGAAUUUAUCCAACACAUUGUGGAAGUGAUAUUACAUAAACUGGGUUCAAGUUUCUCAAGCAUUACAACUAACUUGGUAGGAAUAGAUUCUUCAAUGGAGGAAUUGAUCACUUCUUAUUUAGGCCUUGGUAAUAAUGUUUGCAUGAUAGGGAUUUGUGGUAUGGGGGGGACUGGGAAAGACAACUCUUGCUAAAGUUGCUUUUGAUAGAUUCUCUAAUCAUUUUGAAGGUUCUAGCUUUGUCAUUAAUGUUAGGGAAGUAUCAGAGAAAGGUGGUUUGGUUCCAUUACAACAACAACUUAUUGAAGAAGUUUUGGAGGAUAGAAAUACAAAGAUACGGAAUGUUUAUCAUUGAAUUGAUAUGAUCAAGAAAAGGCUAUGUAAUAAAAAAGUUCUCAUUGUUCUAGAUGAUGUUAAUCAAUUGGACCAAUUAGAAAAAUUGGUUGGAGAUCAUGGUUGGUUUGGAUUGGGGAGCUGGAUCAUCAUAACAACUAGAGAUGAACAUUUGUUGGUCCAACAUGAAGUACAUAAAAUCUAUAAGCCUAAUGUAUUAAAUGAUCAUGAUGCUCUAAAACUUUUUUGUUUGAAAGCCUUCAAAAAAGAGCAACCCAAAGAAGGUUACAUGCAGCUCUCCCACAAUGUUGCAUACCAUGCUAAAGGCCUUCCAUUAGCUCUUGUAACUUUGGGUUCCUUUUUGGUUGGAAGAACGAUGGGUGAUUGGCAAAGUGCAUUGGACAGUUUCAAAAAAAAAAUCCUAAAAGAGAAAUAUUUGAUAUACUUAGAGUAAGUUAUGAUGGACUAGAAGAAAUGUGGAAGGAGAUUUUUUUGGAUAUUGCGUGUUUCUUUAGAGGGAAGAUGAAAGAUCGAGUAAUAGAGAUAUUAGAGAAUUGUGGUUUUGAUGCGAGAAUUGGUAUAAGUGUUCUCAUGGAUAAAUCUCUCCUAACCAUAGAAAACAAUAAGUUGUGGAUGCAUGAUCUACUACAAGAAAUGGGUAGAGAAAUCGUUCGUCUAGUGGAGAGCCUGGAAAGCAUAGCAGCCUGUGGCUUCGUAAGGAUUUGUUUCAUGUGUUGAAGAAAGAUACGGCAACAGAAGCAAUUCAAGCCAUAGUCAUAAACUCUUAUGAAUGUGAAGGAGGAUACCAGAACUUUGAAGCCUUUCCUAAAGGUUUUUCAAAGAUGCACAAUCUUAGAUUGCUUAUAAUUGAUUAUGUGCACAUCCUGAAUGGCCUUGAUCAUGUUUCUAAUGACCUAAGAUUUCUUCAAUGGAUUGGGUAUUCUUCAAAAUGUUUGUCAUCCAGUUUCCAACCAAAAGAGCUUUUUGAACUUAAUUUACAAUGUAGCAAACUUAAAUAUCUUUGGGAGGGUACAAAGGUCAUUUUCUUCAUUGAUGGGCUUUCUUUUAUUUAUUUAUUAUUUUCAUUAGGAGUUCUUUUAAUA